AUCCUGCAAAAUGUAUGAGUGGGUGUUGAAUUUUUUUUUUUUUUUGGUUUGCUUGUUGUGAUUUUAUUUUUUUUAAAUAUUCACAGGAUUAUAUACACAAGAAUUUGAAAAGCACGAGAUGCUAAGACUGUAAAAUCAUUAGAUAUUAUUUUUGUGUGGCGUUUCAACAUAGUUGCAGUGACACAAUAUCUUAAUGCAGACUUUCCACAGCUACCAAGGCUACGAUUUGAUCUAGGAACAUACUAGAAUCCAUACCUGCUUCAUCAACAGGCUUGGUUCAUGUCUUCUUCACAUCUGCUCAUUUGGCUACAGUUGGACCUAGACUAAGGAGUUACACUGGAAUCAUCCAUGGGACGCCCAAAGAGCUGAUUCAUUUCACAGAGCUGUGUAUGCAGAGAACCCUACAAGAUUUUUCCCUUCAAUGGAGACAAUGUAAUAUACUCAUGUGCAUUAGUUCUAAUCUAUACUUUAAUGGCAGAGCCAACUGAAGAUUGGCACUUACCGUUUACCUCUACAAGGAUUAAACUGUGAACAACUGCAGCUGCUGACCCUCAACACCCCUGAAAGAGUUCAGGGAGGAGAUCAGAAGAAAGGCACUCUGUGCCUGGAAAAACAGGAAGAACAGGUCUGCAGAUACUUAGAAAUUUUCAGGCCGAGUUUCGACAACACUAUGUAGUGUUUUAUUUCCUUUUCUUAAAUUGAACAAACACAGAUAUAUUAUUGCAACUGUAAUCACUGAACAAACAUAAAUUUAUAUUAUGAUUUUAAAUAACAUUUCAAAGUGGUUCACAUUAUCUUCAUUCACUAUUAUAAUUAUACAUUUAAUGAUAAAGUAGUAAUUACUUGCAUUGAUAUUUUGUUUUAAUAUCACUGUGCAAUUCAGUUAUUUCCAGGCUGAAAAUGCAGAUAGAUUAUGCAUCUCAAAGUAUCUUUGUGAAUUAAAAAUUUUCUUUAUAUAAACUUAGAAACACAAGCACCUCAACAAUCUUGAAGUGGCAUGUAACCUAAAAGGUCAGAAUACAUAAAUGUCUUUAUAACUACUGCUAUUUAUUACCAGAUUAAUUUUUUUAAAUGUAAACCUAUUUUCAACUUCUAAAACUAUCUUAAUGCUUUCAUUUUACUAUAUCUUCUAGCAAUUAGCAUUAUAAUUUGUAAUAUUGUCUAGUGUUCAUGGUAUAAACACAGUGACUUACAGUUGA
rnacentral:lncRNA from 1 species